rnacentral:lncRNA from 1 species
AAGAUGCUUCUCUUGUUCCGAAGCAGAGGAUGAUGCAGAUGAAGCUCACGUGAAGUUGGGAGCAAAUCCGGAUGGGUCUCGGCUGGAAUUAAUCCCGAAACAGAGGAAUCCGGAAGAGGAUUUGCUGGCUGGGACGUUGUGGAUGAACAUUGUUUCGUUUGGGAGGAUCUCGGAAUGUUGAGAUGCUGGGAGAUGUGAUCCGGAAGGAGGAUAUGGCUCACGGGUGAGGAUGAAUCACAACGGGAUGAAGGGUGGAUUCUCUUGGAUGCAGGGGAUAAGCUGGAUGCCGUGAAGCU